rnacentral:lncRNA from 15 species
UACCAUUGUUCCUCGUUCCGGGGUGUUGUUGACGCCGUCACCUGGGACAUCGAAAAGGAGGUCAGAGAGGCACUUGUGACCCAGCCCGAUCCAGGUAACGGCCCCCCUGGCCGUCUGUUUGUUCCCCAGUCUGUCCUACCCUCUGUGUGGUCAUGGGCACAUGCUUCCAGGUUGACAUGCCACCCAGGGAUUGCUCGCACCUUAGCUUUCCUCCGCAGACUUUUUUGGUGGUCUUCUUUGGAAGCUGACACUAAGUCCUACGUGUCCGCCUGUCACGUCUGCAAGGGCUCAAAUCUUCGAAAUGCUGGACACCCCCUGCCCAUUCCACAGUGUCCCUGGUCCCAUAUUGCUCUAGACUUUGUAACCGGCCUGCUGCUGUCUGAGGGUAAGAUUGUGGUUCUCACUGUAGUCGAUCGAUUCAGUAAGUUUGCUAGGUUCCUACCCCUGCCCAAACUCCCUUCUGCCAAGGAGACUGCUGAUAUUCUUGUCAGGGAGAUUUUUUGUGUCCACGGUCUGCCCAGUGACUUAGUGUCUGACAGGGGCCCCCAGUUUGUGUCAUCUGUAUGGAAAGCAUUCUGCCUUGCUAUCGGGGCCUCUGUCAGUUUAACAUCUGGUUUUCAUCUGCAGUCCAACGGCCAGGCGGAGCGUGCCAACCAAAAGAUGGAGAGCUCCCUCCGCUGUCUGGUCUCAUCCAACCCCACCACCUGGGCUUCUCAACUCCCUUUGGUCGAAUAUGCCCACAACACCUACCUCUGCCACAGGUUUGUCCCCAUUUCAGUGCCUCAAUGGUUAUUUGUCAUUGAAAGAGUGAUAAACCCUGUGGCCGUCGGCCUUAAGCUGCCCCGCACUCUCCGGGUCCAUCCCACUUUUCAUGUCUCCCGCAUUAAGCCUGUUCUCAUCAGUCCUCUGCUCCCACCCCCUCCUCUUCCUCGGAUCAUUGAUAACAAGCCUGCCUACACUGUAUGUUGGAUUUUGGAUUCUCGCCGCCAGGGGCGUAGCUGCCAGUCCGGCCCUCAGUAG